rnacentral:snRNA from 1 species
UGGCAGGGGAGAUACCAUGAUCACGAAGGUGGUUUUCCCAGGGCGAGGCUUAUCCAUUGCACUCCGGAUGUGCUGACCCUUGCGAUUUCCCCAAAUGUGGGAAACUCGACUGCAUAAUUUGUGGUAGUGGGGGACUGCGUUCGCGCUUUCCCCUGG